rnacentral:rRNA from 1 species
GACGAACGCUGGCGGCGUGCUUAACACAUGCAAGUCGAGCGGUAAGGCCCUUUCGGGGGUACACGAGCGGCGAACGGGUGAGUAACACGUGGGUGACCUGCCCUCAGCUCUGGGAUAAGCCUGGGAAACUGGGUCUAAUACUGGAUAUGACUCCACGGUGCAUGUCGUGGGGUGGAAAGCCUUGUGCGGCUGAGGAUGGGCCCGCGGCCUAUCAGCUUGUUGGUGGGGUGANGGCCUACCAAGGCGACGACGGGUAGCCGGCCUGAGAGGGCGACCGGCCACACUGGGACUGAGACACGGCCCAGACUCCUACAGGAGGCAGCAGGUGGGGAAUCUUGCGCAAGUGGGACGAAAGCCUGACGCAGCGACGCCGCGUGAGGA